rnacentral:rRNA from 1 species
GACAGAGGGUGCAAACGUUGUUCGGAAUUACUGGGCGUAAAGGGCUCGUAGGUGGCCAACUAAGUCAGACGUGAAAUCCCUCAGCUUAACUGGGGAACUGCGUCUGAUACUGGAUGGCUUGAGUUUGGGAGAGGGAUGCGGAAUUCCAGGUGUAGCGGUGAAAUGCGUAGAUAUCUGGAGGAACACCGGUGGCGAAGGCGGCAUCCUGGACCAACACUGACACUGAGGAGCGAAAGCCAGGGGAGCAAACGGG